GACGAAGGUGGCGAGCGUUGUUCGGAAUCACUGGGCAUAAAGCGCACGUAGCGGUGCCGUAAGUCGGAUGUGAAAUCCCUCGGCCUAACCGAGGAACUGCGUCCGAUACUGCGGUGAGCUUGAGGAUCAGAGGGGUGCAUGGAAUUUCCGGUGGAGCGGUGAAAUGCGUUGAUAUCGGAAGGAACUCCGGCGGCGAAAGCGAUGCACUGGCUGGUUUCUGACGGCUGAGGUGCGGAAAGCCAGGGGAGCAAACGGG
rnacentral:rRNA from 1 species